AUUUUGUUUCCGGUGGCUUGACCGCAUGCACAUGUGUUUUGGAAGUCUUGGGCGAUACGUUGUCAUUUGUCUUUCCUACAUGUAUUUUUUCUGUGGGCUUUUUUCCUCCUCUCUUUUGCUGUAUUUGUUUUUGUGGGAGAGUUAGGGACCUUCCAAAACCAUGAAGCUGUCACCUUCUUCCUUCCUUUGCCUAAUUUUUAAAUGAUCACAGGCUGCUCCAGCAACGAUGCGUGUCAAGAAUGUAUGGGGAGACUGGAAGAACAGACAUGAAGCUACUGCUAUGGUGAGCUUUGCUUCUUCAGGAUAUUUUCAUUCUGCGAAGAGCUGCUCUCACUGACCAGAAAAUAAUGCCACAAACAACUUCAGCAACAUCCUUACUACGGCCCAUGAUCCCACUGGAAGUGAAAGCAUUGUUUCCUGUUGCUCAAGUAGAAAUAUCUUAAGGACGGUGGUUUCUGGAGACACUAAGAUGAUCUUCUUGCAGACUGACAGGCAUCUAGAUAUUUUCCCACCAUUCCAAUUCUUUCUUCACCUGAGAAGAGAGAGAAUCCAUUAUUUGUCCUAUUGCUUUUGAUAUAUGGUUUGAAGUCUCUAGCCAUUCUGCUAAAGAAGAUAAUUUUUAUGCACUUAAUAAAUGGAAGAAAACAUCUC
rnacentral:lncRNA from 1 species